AUGUCUCACACUGAUGAGCAGAUUUAAACUUACUGUGGAAAUACUGCAGCUGUGAGAAUGUUUAGAGAACUUUAGAAGGAUUCCAAACCUGCUCCUCAUCUGAUCACCAGCAACAUGAUUGCGAAGGCAGUAGUCACCAGCCAGUGGAGACCUCGUCUGUCCAGCAGUGAGUCUGCAGAUGAAAGCUCCCAACAGUACUUCAGCUGACCUGCAGCAGAGGACUCAAUAAGAACACUGCCUGUGUGUAUGCACACUCAGAGACAGAUGAAGGAAGGAGGAGAAUCAAGAGGUGAGGAAGAAACAGACCAGGUAAGAGCACCACAUAUACAAAAACACACACACACACACGCACACACACACACACACACACAAGGAGCUGUGCAUGCAGGUUCAAGCUGAUUUUACAUCUGGAGAUAAUAAAGUAAGGCCUUUGACAUCUUGUAUGUGUGUGAUUUUCAUAUAGCCCAUAUUGUUCAUCUAUAGUCCCCUGUCCUAAUUUGAUGUUGUGCUGCAGUCUUACAUUUUCUUGUUCUUGCACAAUGCACAAGAAGUCAGUUUUUCUUCUGACUUCUCGUGGAAACAUACCGAUGGGUGACAAAUUAAAGGAAAAACCAACAUGAAGUGUCUUAGUAAGGAAUCAGGCCACCACGAGCCUCCAGAACAGCCUCAGAGCUCUUUUCCAAGUCUGUGGAACUCUGUUGGAGAGAUGAACAACAUUCCUCCACAAGAUAUUCCCUCAUUUAUUUAAACAACCUUUAUUUCAUCAGGUCGUUUCAUUGAGAUCAAAAUCUCUUUUGCAAUCACAGACAUCAUUAAAUAGAUUUGAAGAUGAAAGUUUAUAUUAUAUCAUUUGGUCUCAUGGAGAUGGUGGUGGAGAGCAUUGUCUUACACGUUGGUCCAAAAGCUUCUAUAGGUGUUCAGCUGGGUUGAGAUCUGGUGACUGUAGAGGCCUGAGCAUUUUAUUUACAUCAUUUUCAUACUCACCAAACCAUUGCGUGAACCCUCGUGCAUGAAAACAUCUGCAUUUGAUAUGUCUCUCCACUCUUUCUCCACCAUUCAGGUUUUUCCUCUAAUUGUCCCCUGUCUGUAUAUGAGUGUUCUGUAAAAUCAUGGUUUUAAACCAGCUUUGAUGGUCUUGAGUAUCCAGUGUCUUAAGAAAUCUUGAGAUCUCUACUAGUGUUUAAAGUUAGCUUCUCUGGGUUUGGAUUUGCUUGGCUGUUUGAACUGACAGACCGGGAAGUGAAUCUGACAAGCUUUAGGACAUUAAUGCUAAUGUAAAUGUAAAUCUCACAUUGAGGUCCCCAUUCCUAAAGUCCAGCUCAUAAAUAUGUGUUGAAAUCCUCCAGCAGCCAGGAGAUGCUGUCCUGUUUAGGACUGGGAUGGACAUGAGAAAGUGUAUGGAGGGAGGAGAGGAGGAAAUGCUGUAUUUAUUUACUGAGCAGUCAAAAGUCUUAAGGGCAUUGGGUUAGCAGGAUUUUCACAUAACCCUCCUCACACACACACUCACACACACCCUCACAUCAGUCCCCUUCUGGGACCAAGAAACCAUCAUUCCCAGGGUCAAUUUUACAUGGGAGGAGGGGAGGAGGGGGGAGGAAGAGGAGGAGAGGCAGAUGGAAGGCGAGAGAAGAAUGCAGGAAAAGAGAGAAAGUGAUGGAGAGAGAUGAACCCAACCGAGGCCGACAGGGUCAUAGCUCCAAUGCCAUGUAUAGAAACACAUACAUACAGAAGUUGUAUUAGUUGAUUUGUACAGCAUCUGGUUGCAACAAACUACAAACUGCUUCACAUCACAUUAAAGCAAGUCUGUUACUGUAUUUGCAUCACCAAUAAUUUAAUUUACAAUUAAUUUUUAUUUUUUAAUACCUCUGGUACAUGUCAACUGCGUAGUUGUUGUUGCUUAGAUACCAGCUGAAAACUUAAACUGCUCUUAGUGUACACACUUCUUCAGUUCAACUGCUUUUAGCACAUGACACUUGAUACUGACAUUUCAACAUCUUUCAUUCUCUACAAGUCAACUGACACUUCAGCUGAUUUUCACUUUUCAAUUGACUGUUCAACCAAUUUAAACUGAUGUAUCGCUGACAACUGCUGGCCUUCCUUACAUUACAUGUAUUUACAGUGCACAUACAUCAACUACACUACAAUGCUUAAACCUCAUGUGAAAAUUCAAUUGCUUUCAUAAUUUACAGUUCAUAUUACAUUUCAGCUGCUUUCAUCUCUUCAACUUCAAAGGACUGUGCAAAGGCUUUCAGUGCUUACAUGUCAACUGACAUUUCAAUUGCUUUCAUCUCUUGCUCUUCAGGUAAUAGUUCACCAGCUUUAAGCUCUUACUUUGCAUCUGUCAAUUUAACCUCCUACAGGGCUUAAACUUUGCAACUCCUCAACUAAACCCUCAUCUCCUUUCAAUGCUUACACUUCAACUGACACCAUUUCAGUGCUUCAACUCAAAUUGUAACUCCCAUUUGCAAAGAUAUAACAUUGUAAAAAUGUUUGUUUAUAAUGUUAACAGUAUUUGUACUUGUGAUGUUCAGUUAAAAUGAUCUUUAAUGUAGUAUUUUCUAGUUAUUUCUUAUAAUUCAAGUUCUAUGAAAACAGGUGAAGCCUCCAUUAAUUUCACUACUGUGUGAAAAUCAAAUUACAGAGUUAAUGCUUUUUUGAAUUAUAGAUAAUACAUCCCAGUGAACACCUGCUUUUUCAGGUUUUAUGUUGUUAGUCACAUAAUGAAAAUUAACUACCUUACUGACCUCAGUGAUUUGUCAGCUGAUGUGAUCAUGCCACAAGAGCAAAAUCUGGAAGAGCAUAAUAGGACCAGUAUGUCCAGUCCUUUUUCCUGCUGACACUGAUGAUAUUGAAAAGCUUACUCAAAUCUUUGAUUCCCUCUGGACUGGGUUUCUGCACUGCAAAUAUCUCCAUCUUAUCGAGUCAUUUCUCUCUACAAUUAAGCCCUAAACAACUUGUUUUUAAAGAAUUUUCUACAACUGAGUAAAAGGCUGCAGUUUUGAAAAGAUUUCAAAAAAUACUCAAAACAAGUUCAUUUAUAUUGGAAACAGGCUGAUAUUAUCUUACUUCACUAGCAGAUUUUUACAUUUAUAUGGAGAAAGUAAGAUUGUAAGGAUUCAAUUACAGUGCAGACAAAAAUUACUUUGUCUGCACAAAGGUUUUUGUUUUGGUUUUUGUAUAAGUAACUGGGUUGGCAUGUCAGCAGUCUUCUGUCAUCAUCAUUUGGUAAAAGUAAUUAUGUAGCAAAUGUUUGAUAAAUGUAUUGCACUUCAGUGUAUGUCUGAAGUUUUCUGUUGUCAGCAACAGCAGGUAUAGCACCCUAUAGACAAAGGCUGGAUUCAAGAUUCAAAGAUUUAUGUGUCACAUUUCUCAAUAUGCUGGGGUGACAUACUCCACAAAAGGUGAUAAAUGGUUAGCAUGACAUAAUAAUAUUAAUAAUAAUAAGAAUGGAGUCUGCUACAUCUCAGCCUCUAGGAUGCUGCUUAGUAUUGAAGUCUCAGAAGUCUUAAGUCUUGAAGUGCUGUGCCACAGCAGCAGCACACCCAACCAUAGCAGCACAGAUGAUAAUUAUUUGUUUUCUUUCUUGUCCCCUUAAUAAUGUUGUGACUCUUCUUCAGUAAGAUUCCUCAAUCUCCAGGUUGGGACCACUGAACCUAGGCCAAUUACAACACUUGUAGGUUCCUUUAGAAACCAGCCAGACCCAUUGUUUCACCCCGAGCCCCUGGGUUCCAACCAAAAACCCUCCUUAAGUUCCUUACAGCACCCUAAAUUCUUUUCAACACCCCUUAAGCCCUUCAGCAGCCACUAUGUUCUUCACUUCGCCAUCAGUACGUUCCUGCUUUAGCUGCUCUGAUCUGGAUCCAAUGUUUGACUUGUGCUCAUUUCAGCAUUGCCAUUUUUGGAAAUUGAUUUUAAGAUCCAGAGUUAAAGUGACUUUCAGUGAGACUGAUGUGUGUGCUUUUUUCUUUUUGUGAACUAUACUCUGACAUUGUUUAGUUCUUAAAUCACUGUAGUGAUUAACUUUCUUGGUGAUUCUUCGCAUGUGAUGUUGUCCUGAAUAUUUUCUGUGUAAGAAUUUGUAAACAUUGAUUUCACAUUAUGCCGGGAUCACUCAGCUGUUUGUUUUUGUGUGUGUGUGUGUGUGUGUGUGUGUGUGUGUGUGUGUGUGUGUGUGUGUGUGUGUGUGUGUGUGAUGGUCAGACGGAGUAAAAUGGAGGGAGGGCUUCCUGUGUGUGAUUUACAGAGCCAUGGGGGAAAGAGAAAGACAACCAUAUUAGGAAAUGUUUGGCUCAACAGGAGAGAUGGCUCUGACUGUUAUCACAGCCUGUCACAUCCCCGCAAGCACACACACACAUUCCCACUCAGGGCUGGUAGACUGUCUGCACUGUCACGUGUCCUUCCAUUACAGAUAGUUCAUAUUUUGCUUUAAAUCAACUCUAUUGGCAUGAUAUGAAAUGCAAAGUGUUGAAAUGUUUGGGCUUUUAAUUAGUUAUUUAAAACUCUAUAUAGGAUUAUGGAAUAAAUUUACAUAUGGAAAAAAUUAAAUUUAGUUAACUCAGUUAUGUUUGUGUUGGCCUUUAGAUUGAAUAUAUAACUAAUCAAUUUUAGCAUGAGUUAAUAAAUUGUAAUUGAGGUCAAAUGCAUGCCCGUACACAAUGUAAAAUAUUAUUUUUAAACUUUAUAUAAGUGCGUAUUUUGUGUCAUACUGAGGCACUUGGGCAGUCUCCCUAGCAUCAUGCCUUUUCCUUUCUGUGAUGUAGAUUCUGUCUGUAUACAGUUUUUAGUCAUUUAGUGUUUAACAAGAGAACGGAUAGGCAGAAUUCAGUUAAGUUCAGCUAUCACCCUACACGCCUGACCCCUGAUAGAGUUUAAAAGAUCAGUUCACCAAAAUCACAGAUAUGUUCUCACUUUUGACUCUAGUGUUGAUUGGUCUAGAAUAAUGCACAAUGGAUAUGUUGUUGUACUGGAUUGCAUUACUUUGCAAUAUUUUGCAAUAUUUUGUCCAGCCCCAGUUAGGUAUUGUAUGGAGCAAAAUAUUUGAAACACAUUUCAAUAUCAUGCAAUACAAUUGUACAUUGUUGUCUGCCCCAGUCUUUUCUGAUGCUAUACUAGGAGUUUCCAAAGUCAAGGAUGCUCUAAUCUUGGACAUAGGGGCUUUAAUUACAUUUUGGUUUCACAUUUCCAAACAUGUAAAAAUAGAUCUAAUAAACAGUAAAUAUUUAAAUUAGUCAUACUAAAAACAACACAUUGCCAUGCAGUUUGGUAUCUAGUUGAUAUAAAAAAUCAGAACCAUGACUAACAGAACAUCCAAUGAAAAGAGACAGCAACACAACAAUUCAAUGGUGUCAUUUUUAACUGGAAGGGGUGCAUAGGUGUGAUGUGUGUUUGAGUGAUGGGGUGGGUAUGAAGCUUGCUGUGUAAAACAAUGCACUAUGAUAUGGCACCAUGGCUUAGAAAUGUUCGGGCCUAACCUUUGUGGCUUCCCAUCCACAACAGGGACACACAACCAGACUGCUGUAGGGCCUGUCUGCACUCUGUACACACAUGUUGUACAACUGACACUGUCAGUUGUACAACAUGUGUAUUCUUCAUAAAUUAGAAAUUCAUACAUUUAUAUUAAAGAUCUUCACAGUAGGGUGGGACUGGAUAAUGUAGUAAUCCAAUGAGAGUCAGAUGAUUUCAAGUUUAAUGUCAAACAUUUUUGCACAUUAGAUGCAAUAUAUGUUUGAAAUGUUCUCCAUACUGAAACUGAAUGACAUUAUUCUGCAGAUUUUGAUGACAUUCAAAUGAUAUGAAAUCAUUCAUACGUCAGUGCCAGCUUUACCCAUGUAUUAUAUACAUUAGCAUAUUCUUUUUUUUAACUAAAAAAUAAUUAAAUAUGUUCUGAAAAUACCUUCACAGAAACCCUCCUUACAACAGCAAAGAAUGGACAUGUGAAAAUAGUUAUAUUUAUGUUUUACCUGAAAGGUAAUUUUAUAUUCUGUAAUAGUGCUGUACAUGUUUAGCAUUCCACUAAGCUACACUUCCCUUUCAGCAGAAAGUAAGUUUCUUUGAAAGUUUCCCAGCAGCUCUACAGGCUUGUCUUGAUCAAGUGUAGAGUGUAUAGACUGAUUUCUCUGAAUAUUUCUGUAAUGAUGAGGCUGUAGAGUUCCAGUUCAGUCUCUUUUUGUAAUAGUAGUAUUUGUAGUUGUAGUUUAAUGUAUGCAGAUGGAAAAGGUUGUAAAGCCAAACAACAUAAAGUAUCUGGUCAUUUACUAGUCCUCACUUUACAACUUAUUUUUGUUAUCCAAUUCAAACCCCAGCCAAACAAAACAUCUUUGGAUUUAAAAAAAUAAGUCCUAUAAGAAGUUUAAUCUAAAACAGCUGGCUAGAAUGUAUAUUAAAAAAUUACACAACAAAAUGUAUCUGAAUCAAGGCUGAUGAGGAUGAUGAUGUGAUGAGGACAAAAUGAGGGAUGUUGCCUGUGGUGUGAAACUUGGGAACAGGGUGCAGGCUUGAAGCUUGAUGUCAUUUAAUACAGACACACACAUACAGGCUGGGAGAGGGCAGACAUGCUUGUUGCUUUAGUUUACACAGGGAUAACACCUCCUGAGGAAAAACCUCAAGACAUGCCCUACUGUUAGACUGUGGCUUUCUGUGUGUGUGUGUGUGUGUGUGUGUGUGUGUGUGUGUGUGUGUGUGUGUGUGUGUGUGUGUGUGUGUGUGUGUGUGUGUCUCAGAGUGUGUGUAUAAGAGAAAGAUAGAGAGCAGGUCUUUCUUCUUAAUAUGGACUUCUUGAGCCUGGAGUAUAGGGAGAAGGGCAGCGUGAGAUAAAAGCCCCCUCUCCCUCUGCUGCCUUUUAAGUGAGUCUCUCCCCACUAUGACUAGAAAAGGGAAUGUAUGUAGCCAGCUGGAAAGAGGAGGGGGUGGAGGGUGAGGGGAGGGAUGACAAACUAUCAGUGGGAGUGAUCGCAGACUGGAAGAGGGAAUGUUUAUCCAAAGCAGCAAUCCCAUUUUCCAUGAUCCCAAAAAUAAAAGGCCAGCUCAGGCCUUAUAUGGGCAGACUGGGAGUUUUGAGCUGAGCAGAAUCAGAGCAUUCCUGGAAAACACCCGGCUUCUCUCUGUCUUUAUAUGUCUCCUCUCUUCUUGAUGUAUUAGGUGUGUAUCAGUGAUAGAGAAGGAAAUUGUUAGAGUGACAGUGCUGGUGCUCAGAGGACAUUAAAAGGUCAUGAGAACAUUGUAAUUAGUUUAAUUUAUUUUAAGAAUGUGUAUAAAAUAUGUGCUUUGUUUGUUAAGGUGUUGCUGUUGAGAUGAGAUAAUGGAGAUCAAAGAUGGAAAUCCAACAGUCUUCACUACAAUGCUACAAGAUGGGUAAGGCCUCAAGAAUGACACACAGUGUCUGUUUUUGUUGGUUUCAGAAAAAAAAAGUUUUUUAGGAGUUUAAUCAACAUCUGUACUUUUUAUAUGAUUCUAAAAAAGUUCCCAUAGAGGCUUUUUAUCUUCCAGACCAGCACUUCAUCUACUGAAAUCACAGGAAGCUAUUUCCACACAGUCUUUAAAGACUGCAUAAUAUAAUUCCAGAUGGUAUUACUGCAGAUUAAACAAUAACAUACUCAUACCAUUCAGAAAGCCCUUGUGAAACUGUAGCAUUCAUUAAGUUUUCUCACUCAUUUAUCCUGGUUUUUCCUUCAAAUGUCUUUUGUCUGUAUGUCUGCAAUUAAAAUUGAAAUUUGAUUUUUAAUAUUUUUGAUAUUUGCUAGUAUGUGGUACAUCUGUCUCCUAAUAGCCAUGUUAGUAUUUAAAGGAUUCUGUAAAACAAACUGCUCAUUCACUCCAGACUCUGGAGACUACAACUCUCACCAAGGUAUCUUUCUCUGAGAUUUCUGCCUCCACCACAGAAUCUGUGCUGCUCACAGCACUGAAAAUGUCAUUUGAAAAACUCAACAGCAUGCCUUUUGAAAAACAUUCUUUUGGUUACCCUGAAUAAAUCCACCACUCUCACUGUAAACCAUUUCCAUUUAGACUAUUUUCUACUGGAGAAAUAAUUCCUAUUCAGGGUUCUUUUAAUUUGUGACCCAUCUGUAUGUCUUUUUGUAAACUGUGUGAACUGACCCUUUAAGGUCUGUCUUAAUUUACAGUAGACAACUCUACAACUUCUGGGUUUAAGUUAGAGAAAACUUCAUGGUUAAAGGAAACCAUGAGGUACAAAAUGGGAUGUGAACCCUAGCCACCUACGUCAACAUCAAAUGUACCACCUCAACCUACCUAUAUCACACUUCUUCAUGCUUUGACCCUGAUUAUCAAAAAUAAUCAGUAACUCCAGUUGUCAGAUAAACAUAGUGAAGUAUAAAGAUUUCCAUGUGAAAUAGAGUGGAGGAAAAGUAGAAAGUCUCCUAACAUGGAAAUACGCGUGUAAGGCAGCAGACAUACUAAACUGUACUUGAGUGUGUAUGUGCAGCGUCAGAUGUCUGCCAUUACAAUGUCUCUCAAAGUAUGUGUGCUGUGUUUCAGAUGUCAGAGACGAGCAGCAGAAAGGUGAAUAUCACUCACUCACUCACUCACUCACUCACUCACUCACACACACACACACACACACACACACACACACACACACACACACACACAACACAUACAUUUUCACCUUUUUUGUUUUACACUGCUGUUUCUGACUUGUUAGUAGAAAGACAUGUUUCAAAAAUCCCUCAAAACAUUCAAAAUCAUUCUAAUGAGACACUAAAUUGUAUCUUAUCUGUAAAUUAAGACAUUGUUGUAUCAUGACAGGUCUUUUCUACCACGUGAGGCUGAUAAUGUGUUUGAAUCUGUUGGGCCACAUGGCUUAGUGUGGUUUUGUGAGAUUAAAAAUCAAUAAUAUUUCUUGGUCAGCUACAAAGUAUGAAGUACAUGUUGCUUAGUCAGAACAGAAUAGUACCAGUCUGUGAGAUGUCUGUGAGGACAGACACUAACACAACAAGUGUUAGUCAGAUAACAUUGAGAUAAAAACAUUGACAACAGACAACACGUAAUCAUCUUUUUAUGGUAGUCUGUGAAGUUAGAUUACUUUUUUAUUGUGUAUAUAUUGUUUUUUAAUGGUUGAUAGUGUAAGAAAUGUGUAUAUUGUGUAAAUACAGUAAGAUCUGCAGCUCUCUAUAGAACAUUCUACAGUGUAUUCUACAAGAAUGAGUCAGAAAUGCAGCAGGGAAGAUUUCAGUGAGCUUUAUUUCUGACAGUUUAUCUUGUUUUUUGGUUGAAUAUGGAUGGAUUUCAGUAUGGUUACGAUUUGGCAGAUUGCUGUCCUUAUAAAUACAUGUUAGUUUUUUAAUAAACAUAAACAUAAACUGAAGAGUGUUGAAGUGAGGAUGUAACCGUGUAAAAUGUGCUGCAGAUCCACAGAUCUGCACACAAGAACAGAGUUGUUUGUGUUUGAGUGAGAAAAGUAUCAGGAAAUUUGAAGGCUGUAGUCACUGAAUGCUUUUUGGGUGAAAACAAUGCAAAUGUGUAUGGUAUGGUCCAAAAUUGUAGCUAUUGUGUCAAAUGUGUGAGGAGUUUUGAAGAUGUGGACUCAGUAUUGAACUGUGCAGGUAACCAAUCACAAGAAACUGUAACAUGGCAUCUUAAAUGACUGACUGUGCUUUGUUUACUGCUUCCCCUUGUUUUUCUCCAAUUGACCUCCUGGUCCAUCCCUGUGGCCCAUGGUGCAGUGCUGCAUCUCUGGUCAGUUGGUAGUCUGAGAUGAAGCACUGUAGCUCGGGACGGAGGACCGAAAUAUCAGCCUCUACACAUCCACAGCAGGACAACAAGAUCCACCAGCAGGUCUCCAGGGCUCUGAUUUGCUUCAACAGGGAGAAUGAUAUGAAUGAGUCACGGGACAGUGGACUCAGCUGACUCACAGGAUCACAUGGCACUUUGUAGAUCACUGUCAGGCAGGAUUUUAGAUUAGAAUGGACUGUUUCACAAAGCUCACUAAUGUUUCCAUCAGCAGGAAAGUUGUUUCUGUCAAAAUAAAUCAUAUUUAGAGGACAGAAAAAAUGUAUGUUGUAGAAUUCAUCACACAAUAAGGAACAGAGAGAUACAUGUGAAAAAUUUACACAUUUCCUUGAUAGUGUUAAAAUAUUUUGUUUAAAUGUAUUAUAAAUUACCUUUAAAGAAUGCUUACUGUCUCAUUCAUUUCUAUUAAGAAAUACUAUCACGUUCAACUUUUAAGACCAACCAUUAAGAUUUUCAGAUAAAUGAGAUUUAUAACAACUAAUAUAUCAUACACCAGAUUACACAAUUUAGGUGUUUAGACAUACCAUCAUCAGGUCAAAGAAAGAAAGAAUCAGUUUUGUGACAGUUUCAAAGCUUCAAAUGGACUAUCUAUAAAUGGGGAGUAUGGAAACCGGAGCUAGACUUCUCCAUGUGAGGAAUGGGAUCUAUCAGUGUUGAUGUGAUGAUUGAUGAUGAUGAAUGGAUUACAUCAUUCUCACUGACCUCUUUUUUCUCCUCUCUCCUGGGGUCCAGUUUUCCCAGGAAUCCCUUGACCAAUCAGAAAGGGGGAUUCCUGGAAAUACUGUUCUUGGGGGCGGGGCUUACCAACAACUCCAUGAGUGUUCUAAUGAUGGGUGAUAUGCGUUGUAAGCAACAUCUAUAGUGUAAUAUUGUGUUUUUACUGACUGGUUUUACUGAUCAGACACCAGAGAAACACAAGUCUAAUGACUUGUGUUUCUCUGGUUCUCUGGUUUCAGUCAAGAACAGAGUUUGAAGUCACAUGUCAUGUUCCUGUUUAUGAGAUGAGACUUGUUACUGGAGAGUUUGAUCCAAUCUGGGUGGGAAAGUAACUGACUUCCCCUCCCUCCUUCCUCACUGCUGUGGGGCUGCAAUGUCAAGAUUCUGUGUAAAACAUAUUCUUCAGUGUUGAAUAAACAUUCAAAACAGAAA